GUAAUGUGGUCUCAUGCCUAGAAGUACCUUUUUGUUUGCUCAAUAUAUUUUUUAUUAUAUAUUCUAUAUAUAUAUAAAAAUAUCAAUAGCUGGGAUUAUUUAAUAGCAAUAGCGUGUAGUGGAUGUGUACUGACUACAUUAUAGAGAUGUCUAGAUGGUUGACAGAAGGCCAGUUAAACAAACGGGGAAACAAGGAACGUUGUUUCUAAAGCGUCACAUCGUAGUUAGGCAAAUAACCUCCAGCUCGAGAGACACACACACACACACACACACACACACACACACACACACACACACACACACACACACACACACACACACACACACACACACACACACCCUGCUGCUGUGUGUAGGACACUGGUUUCUAACAACUGGAGUAUUUAGUGUGUGUCGAUAUUGGUUAGGCGUCUAAUCUUGUGUUUGGAUGUGUCCCUCCUGAGGAGCACAUAAUUGCUGUGAGUUUGGUGUUAGCAGGAUAGAUUCGCCCUCACAGGCCAACCUGAAUGGGACUGCAAAGAGUUGAACCUGUCUCCAUAUGCGAUGUGUAGAAUGUACAUAGAAAUGAGGGGGCCCAUAGGCCUCGACGCAAGUUUGCCGUAAGCAUCUUCAGUCGAGACACGAGAGCGAACCAGGCUUUGCUCAGAUCAUACCGGACCAACACUGAAAACAAACUUCCAGCCCUCCCUCCUUCCCAAUUCACCAAGGUUCGUUCCUCCGGACCGAAUUCACCAUGGCCGAAGGGUAGGAGCACGGUGUGUUUGAGUGCACCUUCCAUAACAUAGCAACGUGGGCUGAGCACACUGAAUUCCCACAAGUUCAAAGCCUGUGCUGUUUUAAUUUACAUUCCAAGUUCUGGUUUUUAAUCCACUAUAGUUUUGUUUGUACCUUUUUGUCUUCUUUGACGCUUCCGAAGGGCCAAUGUACAUGUUGCACGGCAUGGUGUUUGUUCUGAAGGCGACAGGACACGUCUCCUCAACCCGGGUUAUAUUUAAGCUAGUUUCUUACACUGAACUCAAAUAGGUUAAUAGGAAGUACAUUUGUUGUUCCUUAUUACACUUAAAGGGACGCCUGUUUUUCAUAAAAAUACGCAGAAAAAAAAUUAAAUAAAAACCAAACGUGGUGUUAAGUGAAUUUUUAAUAAUGUACAGUUUUGGUGACUUUAAAUUUGUUCCUUUCUAUAUUUUUAGGACCAAUUUAUCAUUUUUAAGAGGAGGUAUUAUAAGACUAUGUUGUAUCAAGGUGAUGUAACGAGUGUGCAUCUGUAGAAUGUACUGUGAGUUGAAUAAAAACCACGACUAGUAGAGAGUAAAAAAA
ensembl:lncRNA